rnacentral:pre_miRNA from 1 species
GGUGGGAUAGCUGGGUCAAAUGGUGGUUCCAUUCCCAGUUUUCGGAGAAAUCUCCAUAUUGCUUUCCAUAGUGGUUGCACCAAUUUUCGAUCCCAUCAGCAAU